CACACCAUGGGAGUGGGUUGCAAAAGAAGUAGGUAGCUUAACCUUCGGGAGGGCGCUUACCACUUUGUGAUUCAUGACUGGGGUGAAGUCGUAACAAGGUAACCGUAGGGGAACCUGCGGUUGGAUCACCUCCUUACCUUAAAGAA
rnacentral:rRNA from 1 species